rnacentral:lncRNA from 1 species
GUAAAGUCACAUAAUAGACAUGAUCGACAUUAAUCUUAUACUAUAACCCCAUACAAUCUUAUCUACUUAUACAGCUUCUCACAUCACGCUUACUUACCCAAGCAUACAUUUAGACUACCUUCAAAUUCCACAAACAACCAUGAGUCUAUACUUACAACUUACUGGCUAAUAUAGCCAUUUUCACACUUCAAGCAACCGACAAAUCACCCUAACUAACAACUCCUUCUCUACCUUCUACUAAACUAACACACAAGGACAAAUCACCUCUUU